GCUGUAAGCUCAGUGGUGCAGCAUCUGUUUUGUAUGCAGAAGGUCCUAGGUUCCACUCCUGGCAUCUCCA